AUAUUCUUCAUCUUCAGAAUACAAUGCAGUCGACGUCUACCAGGCGCGCUCGUUCCACUAGAACAAUCCCAUUAUGUCGUCACCUUACCAGUGAUGGUUCAAAGAGAUUAGCAACUUUCGGUGCCCUAUGCUGCCGUGCUGUUAUAAAAGGGAUUUCUUUUAUUCGUCUUGCGGGAAGUAGGUGCGUUUACAAUGCGGAGGAGGAAUACAUUGAAUGUAUAUUCUGUGGAAAAAUUACCAUAGUAGAAAACAUGACUAUAAUGAGUACCUUGUAUGACGUGAAGUAUUACCAUCAUUCCACCUGCGAUGGUAUGAAAUUCUACAUCAUGAAACAAGAACGUGCCAUACACCAAGAUGUCUCAAGCUAUGGUGAGCUUCUCCAGAUCUGGCAGUAUGGCGUCAUUACAAGAAGCUGUGAUUAGUUUACCAUCAGUCGAGGUCUCAAAACGGAAGCCGUGCGGAGAACACAUGAAUUUAACCUACGUGAAAGAAACGAGUUCAUAAAUUGCGCUGAUUAUUUUGUACACAGAUUUGAAAAAUAUAAGAUCAAUAUUUAAAAAAAAACAAAAAUCUUUUUAUUUUUCAUUGAUUUAUUAGAUGAAAUUGAAUUAUCUUUCAAA